ACCCUGACUAAGACAGUACCCAAGGAG
rnacentral:misc_RNA from 1 species